rnacentral:rRNA from 1 species
GACAGAGGGGGCAAGCGUUGCUCGGAAUUACUGGGCGUAAAGGGCGCGUAGGCGGGAUGGCAAGUCGGUCGUGAAAUCCCUCGGCUCAACCGAGGAACGUCGAUCGAUACUGCUGUUCUUGAGGAUUGCAGAGGAGACUGGAAUUCCCGGUGUAGCGGUGAAAUGUGUAGAUAUCUGGAGGAACACCGGUGGCGAAGGCGGCAUCCUGGACCGGCAUUGACGCUGAGGCGCGAAAGCUAGGGGAGCAAACGGG